rnacentral:tRNA from 1 species
GGGCUCAUGGCGCAGUUGGUAGCGCGCAUCCGUGGCACGGAUGAGGUCGCGAGUUCGACUCUCGCUGAGUCCA